UACUGAACCAUCCUUGCAUCUGGAC
rnacentral:piRNA from 1 species